rnacentral:rRNA from 1 species
UACGUAGGUCCCGAGCGUUGUCCGGAUUUAUUGGGCAUAAAGCGAGCGCAGGUGGUUUAUUAAGUCUGGUGUAAAAGGCAGUGGCUCAACCAUUGUAUGCAUUGGAAACUGGUAGACUUGAGUGCAGGAGAGGAGAGUGGAAUUCCAUGUGUAGCGGUGAAAUGCGUAGAUAUAUGGAGGAACACCAGUGGCGAAAGCGGCUCUCUGGUCUGUAACUGACGCUGAGGUUCGAAAGCGUGGGUAGCAAACAGG